rnacentral:lncRNA from 1 species
GCCCCGACGAACAGCCCCCACGUCCUAGCUUAUCCCAGGCUAGCUUUUAGUUGAGCUCUCCUUUAAAGCCUGGACCUGGACACAGGAACCACAGGCGCUGCAGCCAACAAUUUCGCGCACUGUAGACGUAGUAGCCAAUCAGAAGGCGCAGCUGUAGGGGCCGGGGUGGGAUCAACCCGUGACUCGCGGUGACUCCCUAGCAGGGAGCGGGGAGAGCGUCUCCAUCUGUUGGACCUUGCGCUUUCCAGGCAGGCACCGGAACCACUGAGCUAAAUCCGAGGCAACCUGUCUCUUCUUUGAGCAGAUCCCCCUAGCCUGCCCAAGCCAGACUUCAAGGCUUCGAAGGAAAAGCUGCAGAAGUUGGAUGAGGAGGGACAGCUCUGUCACCUGGGAAGAGUUUGCCAAAAUGAAGCAGGAGCUAGAAGGGAAGUUGCUGACUUUUUUGAGCCUGAAAGGACCUUCCUGCUGGGAAUACCACACCUACAUCUGAGAUGCCUGCCUGUGGGCAUGUCAUGUGCUCUCCCAAGUGUAUGAAGGUCCCCUGCCUUAAGUUCUCCCCACUGCCUCCUUAGAGCUUCUUCAAAUUGGCAGAGCUCUUUGAAUGACUCAGGAUCUCAUGGGCUUCAGGUCUUGCUGGGUCUCCUUCCAGGACUGAAGCUCAAACAUGCCAAGUCACAGCUCAAAGGCCCACCAGGCAUAUCCUCUGACAUGACAUUAAGAUCAGAUCCCGGGGACACAAAGAGAGGUAUCCCUGCAGCUCUACAGCCCUUCUUCCUGUGGCAGCAGGAUCUCCAUGGGAAGGUACAAGACACAGAACUUGGAACCUAAGAAGUCAAGGCUAACCCCUCCUCCACAGGCCCUAGCAAGGACCACAGGUUAAAUUUUCUACAUCUAUUUCCUGACCAGGAAAAUGAAACUACCCUGUCUUGGCUCUCCCCAGUGCUUAAGGAGAUAAGAAACCAGAUGUAACUUCAGAUGGCCCUUUGCCAUACGGGACAAGGUUUAAGCCCCACAUUUCCAGCCCAUUUCACCCCACUGGGAUGCUAGACUUCUUGGUUGCUUGUGCCUGCUGGGUAAAGCCCAAAGUACAGGCUAGAGACAGCCCACAGCAACUGUGACAAACGCUCAGGACCCUGG